UGCCUUAGUAACGGCGAGUGAAGCGGCAAAAGCUCAAAUUUGAAAUCUGGCACCUUCGGUGUCCGAGUUGUAAUUUGAAGAAGGUAACUUUGGAGUUGGCUCUUGUCUAUGUUCCUUGGAACAGGACGUCACAGAGGGUGAGAAUCCCGUGCGAUGAGAUGCCCAAUUCUAUGUAAAGUGCUUUCGAAGAGUCGAGUUGUUUGGGAAUGCAGCUCUAAGUGGGUGGUAAAUUCCAUCUAAAGCUAAAUAUUGGCGAGAGACCGAUAGCGAACAAGUACAGUGAUGGAAAGAUGAAAAGAACUUUGAAAAGAGAGUGAAAAAGUACGUGAAAUUGUURAAAGGGAANGGGCUUGAGAUCAGACUKGGUAUUUUGCGAUCCUUUCCUUCUKGGUUGGGUUCCUCGCAGCUUACUGGGCCAGCAUCGGUUUGGAUGGUAGGAUAAUGACUAAGGAAUGUGGCUCUACUUCGGUGGAGUGUUAUAGCCUUGGUUGAUACUCCCUGUCUAGACCGAGGACUGCGUCUUUUGACUAGGAUGUUGGCAUAAUGAUCUUAAGCCACCCGUCUUGAAACACGGACCAAGGAGUCUAACGUCUAUGCGAGUGUUUGGGUGUAAAACCCGUACGCGUAAUGAAAGUGAACGUAGGUGAGAGCUCUUAAGAGUGCAUCAUCGACCGAUCCUGAUGUCUUCGGAUGGAUUUGAGUAAGAGCAUAGCUGUUGGGACCCGAAAGAUGGUGAACUAUGCCUGAAUAGGGUGAAGCCAGAGGAAACUCUGGUGGAGGCUCGUAGCGGUUCUGACGUGCAAAUCGAUCGUCGAAUUUGGGUAUAGGGGCGAAA
rnacentral:rRNA from 1 species